CAGCACCUCAAGUGGUCAGGAUGAUUAUUGGGCCUAAAGCAUCCGUAGCCGGCUCUGUAAGUUUUCGGUUAAAUCUGUAUGCUCAACAUACAGGCUGCCGGGAAUACUGCAGAGCUAGGGAGUGGGAGAGGUAGACGGUACUCGGUAGGAAGGGGUAAAAUCCCUUGAUCUAUUGAUGACCACCUGUGGCGAAGGCGGUCUACCAGAACACGUCCGACGGUGAGGGAUGAAAGCUGGGGGAGCAAACCGGAUUAGAUACCCGAGUAGUCC
rnacentral:rRNA from 1 species